GUCGAACGGUAACAGGAAGAAGCUUGCUUCUUUGCUGACGAGUGGCGGACGGGUGAGUAAUGUCUGGGAAACUGCCUGAUGGAGGGGGAUAACUACUGGAAACGGUAGCUAAUACCGCAUAACGUCGCAAGACCAAAGAGGGGGACCUUCGGGCCUCUUGCCAUCGGAUGUGCCCAGAUGGGAUUAGCUAGUAGGUGGGGUAACGGCUCACCUAGGCGACGAUCCCUAGCUGGUCUGAGAGGAUGACCAGCCACACUGGAACUGAGACACGGUCCAGACUCCUACGGGAGGCAGCAGUGGGGAAUAUUGCACAAUGGGCGCAAGCCUGAUGCAGCCAUGCCGCGUGUAUGAAGAAGGCCUUCGGGUUGUAAAGUACUUUCAGCGGGGAGGAAGGGAGUAAAGUUAAUACCUUUGCUCAUUGACGUUACCCGCAGAAGAAGCACCGGCUAACUCCGUGCCAGCAGCCGCGGUAAUACGGAGGGUGCAAGCGUUAAUCGGAAUUACUGGGCGUAAAGCGCACGCAGGCGGUUUGUUAAGUCAGAUGUGAAAUCCCCGGGCUCAACCUGGGAACUGCAUCUGAUACUGGCAAGCUUGAGUCUCGUAGAGGGGGGUAGAAUUCCAGGUGUAGCGGUGAAAUGCGUAGAGAUCUGGAGGAAUACCGGUGGCGAAGGCGGCCCCCUGGACGAAGACUGACGCUCAGGUGCGAAAGCGUGGGGAGC
rnacentral:rRNA from 1 species